AACACAUGCGGAAAGGUGAAACUGAAGACUUUGCUGUCUGGGCGACGGGAUGAAAAUGAAGUCCUAGCACUUGCGAGGAGACGAUUUCCCGUGUCAAUCAAAGACAUUACCAGUGUGUGCACCUCAGAUUUAUUAGAAGAAUCUUCAAUGGUUAUGCCGUGGUUGACAGAUGAUGCUGUCAACUACCGAGUAGCACAACUGGCGGCCCAAGACAAUACGGUGAAUUGAAAAGUCAUUUCGUAAAUGAAAAAAUAAGUUGGCAUUGUUAAAGAUAAUAUGUGCUAUAAUUUUGCAGUGUACUUCCCUGGGUACAUAUGACUUCAUUUUAUGGCACCGUGAGUGGACCAAAGAUGGAACUGUCCGAGAUCAGAUUGUGAAGCAGAUACCACAAUGUGGAAAAAUAUACCUUCCGAGGAUUGUGGGUCAUUCUUCUCCUGAGACUGGGAAUCAUUUCAUUCUCUGGGUCUUUGACUUCAGCUGCAAAGAGAUCCGGAUAUAUGACUCCCUUUCACUUUACAAAAACAUAAGUGAUGACGACAUGGCUUUACUCAGAAAUGUGUUCAGAUCUUCUGGUGGUCUUCAAGGUUGGACAGUAACAUUUCCUCCACAGUGGAAGCAACAGGAUUCUAUCAAUUGUGGAGUUUUUGUGUGUUCAGCUGUUGAAAAUGAAGUUCAACGUCACAAGGUCAGUGCAGAGCCUCUGACACUUAGUCAAUGCCGGACCCUUCGUCUACAUCAUGCCAGUGAAAUGUUGAAAAAUGUUGAUCCAAAGGAUUUCCCCCCAACUUUAAAAGAAGCAAUUGUAAUGGAAAAAAAGGAAAGUAAACUUCAAGAAACAGAGCAGAGAGACACGGAUUCAAGUAUGCAUUGUUUGGCCUGGAAGAUCAGGACAUGUUUGUUUCAGCGAGCAACAGGGAAAACAUUGUAUGUGUUGCACGAAUUCAGUCUUACAGUACAUUCAACUCUGCAAAAUACUUUUCCACGGACACAUUAAGAAGUACCGUUGGGUACAAUGCACAACCUGUAAGAACUGGUUGCAUUUUCAGUGUGCUGGUUUGCCAGAAGACUGGAAUGAGGUGGACUUCUUUUGUGGAUGCAGUGCAAACCCUGAUAUUGACAAGAUUCUGCAGUCUACUAAAGCUGAAGACAUUCUUACAGAUUCAGAGAUCAAGGAUCUGGAAAAGAAAUUGCAGACCGGGGAUAUUCUGUCAAACAGGAUGUAUAUGUGGAAACACAAAGGAUUUGAUCUACUCCUCCGCAAAUUCUACAGUGACCAUGACACCAUAUUUAAUGAUGUGAUGACAGACAUCCUCAUCAUGCGACUUGAAGACAUCUUUUGCGUUCCUGGCAAUGAAACUGCUGACCAACACAUGAUCACAGAAGUGAUUCUGCCAGA